CCUACGGGCGGCUGCAGUCGAGAAUCAUUCACAAUGGGGGAAACCCUGAUGGUGCGACGCCGCGUGGGGGAAUGAAGGUCUUCGGAUUGUAAACCCCUGUCAUGUGGGAGCAAAUUAAAAAGAUAGUACCACAAGAGGAAGAGACGGCUAACUCUGUGCCAGCAGCCGCGGUAAUACAGAGGUCUCAAGCGUUGUUCGGAAUCACUGGGCGUAAGGCGUGCGUAGGCUGUUUCGUAAGUCGUGUGUGAAAGGCGCGGGCUCAACCCGCGGACGGCACAUGAUACUGCGAGACUAGAGUAAUGGAGGGGGAACCGGAAUUCUCGGUGUAGCAGUGAAAUGCGUAGAUAUCGAGAGGAACACUCGUGGCGAAGGCGGGUUCCUGGACAGUAACUGACGCUGAGGCACGAAGGCCAGGGGAGCGAAAGGGAUUAGAUACCCCUGUAGUC
rnacentral:rRNA from 1 species